rnacentral:ncRNA from 1 species
CCAUCAGUGUCACCUGAUAAAUCUAAGAGCCUGAAUAAAGAGCGGCCUCGACAAUGCAGCGAAAUGCCGCAAGGUGUGGGGUAUCAAUCAUGAGAGGCGUACCCUUCUGGUAGUUACAUGCCGGGUCAGCGC